AAAAAAAUGACACUAGACCACCAACUUACACCAUACAAAAAAAUAAACUCAAAAUGGAUAAAGGACUUAAGCAUAACAUAAGUCGGGAAACCAUAAAAAUAUUAGAGGAAUCC